UAAAUAAUCACCUGGGGAUCUUAUUAAAAUGCAGAUUUUUAAAUUCAGUAGGUUUGGUGUGGGGGGUGGAAAGUCUGAAUUUCUAACAAGCUUCCAGGUGAUGCUGAA
rnacentral:pre_miRNA from 1 species